GCCAGCAUAGCAUAGUGGUCUGAACAUUGGACUACAACUCUGGAGAUCAGGGUUCGAUUCCCCACUUGGCC